rnacentral:rRNA from 1 species
CAAUAGCGUAUGCUAAAGUUGUUGCAGUUAAAAGGCUCGUAGUCGAACUUAUGGCCCUGUUGAACCUGGCCCAAUCUCUAGUAGAUUGCGCGCCGGUGUGCACGGGUCAUUCUUCUGGAGAGCAUUGCUGCCCUUGAUUGGGUUGGUGAUGUGAUUCAGAUCAUUUACUGUGAGUAAAUCAAAGUGUUCAAAGCAGGCUUUAAUGCUUGCAUGGUUCAGCAUGGAAUAAUAAGAUAAGACUUCGGUUUUGUUUUGUUGGCUAUACGAACCAAAGUAAUGAUUGAAAGGGAUAGUUGGGGGUGCUAGUAUUCAGUGGUUAGCGGUGAAAUGCGAGGACCCAUUGAAGACUAACUUAUGCGAAAGCAUUCACCAAGGAUAUCUUCUUUGA